rnacentral:rRNA from 1 species
AGACACGUGGAUAACCUACCUAUAAGACUGGGAUAACUUCGGGAAACCGGAGCUAAUACCGGAUAAUAUUUUGAACCGCAUGGUUCAAAAGUGAAAGACGGUCUUGCUGUCACUUAUAGAUGGAUCCGCGCUGCAUUAGCUAGUUGGUAAGGUAACGGCUUACCAAGGCAACGAUGCAUAGCCGACCUGAGAGGGUGAUCGGCCACACUGGAACUGAGACACGGUCCAG